GAUGAAGAACGUAGCGAAAUGCGAUACGUAGUGUGAAUUGCAGAAUCCAGUGAAUCAUCGAAUCUUUGAACGCACAUUGCGCCCUUUGGUAUUCCAAAGGGCAUGCCUGUUCGAGCGUCAUUUGUACCCUCAAGCUUUGCUUGGUGUUGGGCGUCUUGUCUCCAGUCCGCUGGAGACUCGCCUUAAAGUCAUUGGCAGCCGGCCUACUGGUUUCGGAGCGCAGCACAAGUCGCACUCUUUUCCAGCCAAGGUCAGUGUCCAACAAGCCUUUUUUCAACUUUUGACCUCGGAUCAGGUAGGGAUACCCGCUGAACUUAAGCAUAUCAAUAAGCGGAGGA
rnacentral:misc_RNA from 1 species